UGGGGAAUUUUGGACAAUGGGCGCAAGCCUGAUCCAGCCAUGCCGCGUGAGUGAAGAAGGCCUUCGGGUUGUAAAGCUCUUUCGGCGGGGACGAAACGGUCCGUGACAACACCACGGACUAAUGACAGUACUCGCAGAAGAAGCACCGGCUAACUACGUGCCAGCAGCCGCGGUAAUACGUAGGGUGCAGGCGUUAAUCGGAAUUACUGGGCGUAAAGCGUGCGCAGGCGGCUCCUUAAGUCAGAUGUGAAAUCCCCGGGCUUAACCUGGGAACUGCGUUUGAAACUGGGGAGCUAGAGUGUGGAAGAGGGGGGUGGAAUUCCAGGUGUAGCAGUGAAAUGCGUAGAUAUCUGGAGGAACACCGAUGGCGAAGGCAGCCCCCUGGGCUAACACUGACGCUCAUGCACGAAAGCGUGGGGAGCAAACAGGAUUAGAUACCCUGGUAGUCCACGCCCUAAACGAUGUCAACUGGUUGUCGGGGAAGUUAUUCCUUGGUAACG
rnacentral:rRNA from 1 species